AUGGAUGCUCAAAUGCUUCUGUCUCAGGAUCUGUACUAUAAUGUCUUCUGUCUCCAUGGCCAUAAUAUGGACAGUGUUGCAUAUAGUUUUCUUUGGAAUCUUUGGAGAACACUAGUUAGCAUUCAGGAGAAGAUGUUGCAGAAGGUUAAAGCCCCUUGUGAUAUCUUAUUUGAAAAAGUGUUUUGCAUCUGGAGAGUUGUUUAUGGAUAUAUUUGGACAAUGCAUUUACAUUUUAUUUCACGGUAAGUUUAGCAAUGAUACAUAAUUAUACUAAACAGGCUAAAACCUGAUAGUGAAGAAAAAUAGGAUAAAAGGAUUGAAAGAAAUUAUAAUUCAGACUCUAUUACAAGUUUUAACAAUUCCUUCACUCUUUUGGGAUAGUAAAGGGCGGAACUUUUGUCAUAUUUUCAAACUAAACCUGGAAAGUACUAAGCAAUCAGGCCCCAAAGGAAAUGCCUGAUUUAAGUUUGUGAGAAGGAUUCUGGAAAAAGACCCAAAAAUUAAACAACACACAUAAGUACACAAAAUUGAAGGAAAGGAAAUCUGUGUUAUUUAAAACUAUUUAAUUACAAUUUUUUUUCCUUAAUAUAAUUUUUCCUCAGAAUAGAAUGAUAAUUAAAACUUAAGACUGAAAACCAGUCAUAAAUCCAAGGUGAAAAGUAAUAGGAAACAAGCUAAGAAUGGUAAUAUGACUAAAGACAAUAUCUAUGAUAUGAGGAAAAUAGGUCGUUCAAUUUCUGCCAGUCAAUUUUAUUAGGGUAAGUUUUGCCUUUGGCAAUGAAAUUAGUAAUGCAUGAUAUUUUCAGCUAUUGACUUUGACUGGUAAAUAUGCCUCACUUCUUCUUUGAAGGGAAGAAGAAGCAUCUGUCCUCUAAUAUUAAUUGUUUUCAGUUACUCCAUAGCUGUGAAAUACAGCCUAAGCUUUCCCACGCAAAAAUUAAUCUCUGUAUUCCUUUCAUAAACACCCAAUCACCCUUAUAGUUUUAGUUUCUUUUCUUUUAGAGGACAGAAAUAAACCCAGGACAUCUGCCUUAGAAUCCCUAAAC
rnacentral:lncRNA from 1 species